ACAAAAUUGACUAGACAUUCGUCACCGGUGGUUGUCUAUAUUUAUUGUGAAACAAAUAGCUGCAUUCUGGAUUUUAUUACUGGAAGUUGGUUUGCCAGCCAUUGUUAAAGACCACGUGUUUAUUUUUGCAACUCACCGACACACAGUUGUGUUUGCUCAUUGUGUUGGGCGUUCUGUGUACACCUGACAAAAUUGACUAGACAUUCGUCACCGGUGGUUGUCUAUAUUUAUUGUGAAACAAAUAGCUGCAUUCUGGAUUUUAUUACUGGAAGUUGGUUUGCCAGCCAUUGUUAAAGACCACGUGUUUUUUUUUGCAACUCACCGACACACAGUUGUGUUUGCUCAUUGUGUUGGGCGUUCUGUGUACACCUGACAAAAUUGACUAGACAUUCGUCACCGGUGGUUGUCUAUAUUUAUUGUGAAAC